UACGUAGGGGGCCAGCGUUGUCCGGAAUCAUUGGGCGUAAAGCGCGCGUAGGCGGCCAGAUAAGUCCGGUGUGAAAGUCAAAGGCUCAACCUUUGAAUGCCGCUGGAAACUGCCUGGCUUGAGUCCGGAAGGGGCGAGUGGAAUUCCUGGUGUAGCGGUGAAAUGCGCAGAUAUCAGGAAGAACACCCGUGGCUAAGGCGGCUCUCUAGUACGGUACUGACGCUGAGACGCGAAAGCGUGGGGAGCGAACAGG
rnacentral:rRNA from 1 species